GGGACGGGCGGUCAGCCCGUUGCUGAUGUUAUGCACAUAGUGGCAUGUUCUUGUAGGGACCGACACUAAUAUCAUUUUUCACAUUUAAAAAAAAGGCUGGGCAUUGGCCCAGCCCGCACGUUUCCCGUCGCCACGCCCAUGCCUCAGGAGCAGGCAUCCCUGCACGUUCCCCGUCGCCGGCAUCUGCAGGCAGCCCAAAACUCGGAGAUCUCCCCGGCCAACAACGAAUCGAUGAAUAGAGAUGAUCGAACACACAACAUGGACACAAAUCAGAUCAAGAACCCUAGCUCGCUGCCCAAACACACAAAUCGAACACACAAACGAAUCCGCGAUCAAGAACACACAAAUCGAACACAUAGAUCGGAUCCGCGACGGGGAGGUGGAGACGCCGCCGCUGCUCGUUGAAGAUAGGCCGGAUCCGGGGGCCUCCGGCCCGGAUCCGCGACGGGGAGGUGGAGAUGCCGCCGCCGCUCGUUGAAGAUAGGCCGGAUCCGGGGGCCUCCGGCCCGGAUCCGCGACGGGGAGGUGGAGAUGCCGCCGCCGCUCGCUGAAGAUAGGCCGGAUCCGGUGGCCUCCGACCCGGAUCGGCGACGGGGAGGUGGAGAUGCCGCCGCCGCUUGCUGCAGACGUCGCCGCCGCUCUGGGGAGGGAGGAGGAGAACCGGGUGCGCUGGGAGAGAGAGGAGCACGGCACGGCAACUGCUCGGGCUGGGAGAGAGGAGGGAGAAGAAAGGAGAGGGAGAGAUGGAUGCGUGUGGAUUGGGGAGAGGAAGGAGGAGAAAUCGGGCAAAAGUGAGGGAGGGAGGUGGCGGCAGCAGGGAGAAAGAGAGGCAGGAGGGGGGUUAGGGCUAGGCUGUAUUAUAUACGCAAUGGGGUUGGCUCAUGAGUGGCGGGUUCA
rnacentral:lncRNA from 1 species